CGCUGGCGGCAUGCCUAACACAUGCAAGUCGAACGAAGGCUUCGGCCUUAGUGGCGCACGGGUGCGUAACGCGUGGGAAUCUGCCCAAAGGUACGGAAUAACUCCUCGAAAGGGGUGCUAAUACCGUAUGAUGUCGCAAGACCAAAGAUUUAUCGCCUUUGGAGGAGCCCGCGUAGGAUUAGGUAGUUGGUGAGGUAAAGGCUCACCAAGCCGACGAUCCUUAGCUGGUCUGAGAGGAUGAUCAGCCACACUGGGACUGAGACACGGCCCAGACUCCUACGGGAGGCAGCAGUGGGGAAUAUUGGACAAUGGGCGAAAGCCUGAUCCAGCAAUGCCGCGUGAGUGAUGAAGGCCUUAGGGUUGUAAAGCUCUUUUACCCGGGAAGAUAAUGACUGUACCGGGAGAAUAAGCCCCGGCUAACUCCGUG
rnacentral:rRNA from 1 species